rnacentral:rRNA from 1 species
AACGAACGCUGGCGGCAUGCCUAACACAUGCAAGUCGAACGAGACCUUCGGGUCUAGUUGCGCACGGGUGCGUAACGCGUGGGGACCUGCCCUUAGGUUCGGAAUAACUCCCCGAAAGGGGUGCUAAUACCGGAUAAUGUCUUCGGACCAAAGAUUUAUCGCCUUUGGAUGGGCCCGCGUUGGAUUAGCUAGUUGGUAGGGUAAAAGCCUACCAAGGCGACGAUCCAUAGCUGGUCGUAGAGGAUGAUCAGCCACACUGGGACUGAGACACGGCCCAGACGCCUACGGGAGGCAGCAGUGGGGAAUAUUGGACAAUGGGCGAAAGCCUGAUCCAGCAAUGCCGCGGGAGUGAUGAAGGCCUUAGGGUUGUAAAGCUCUUUUACCCGGGAUGAUAAUGACAGUACCGGGAGAAUAAACUCCGGCUAACUCCGU